CUUUGCUUCUUAUCUACAAUUCCCAAAAUCUUCCAAUCAAUAAAUUCUCUGUUUCUGAGCUCCUCUUCUUCUUCCUCUUCUUCUUCAUUUUUGUUUUGGGUUGUUGUUGUUGUUGUUGCUGCAGAGAUGAAUGACCCCAAAUAUGCUUACCCUUACCCUGCCCAAGGUUAUUAUCAAGGUCCCCCAGUGAUGGCACCACCUCAGUAUGCUGCUCCACCUCCACCACCACCAAGGAGUGAAACUAGUUUCCUUCAGGGAUGCCUUGCAGCUUUGUGUUGUUGUUGCCUCCUAGACGAGUGUUGCUGUGACCCCUCUGUGUUUUGUAUGCUCUGAAGUACUCUCCUAGGACACAAACAUGAAUAAGCCACAUAAUUCCGGCAUCCUUUCUUAUUUAUUUGGUAUUUGUAAACUUAGGUAUGCAAUUUUCUGUCUCUAAAAUCAUUAUUUCAAUGCAUUCUUAGUUGUAUGAUUGUGUCUCGAUCAAGAUUUAUGUAUUUUUUUUUUUAUCACAUCAUCUUUGUGUAGUAGUGUAUUGGGACUUGACAAGGAUUUUGAGAUAGGCAAUCAUUCGUCAGAAACUUGUUAUUUGUUAUGUAAUACUUGAAUUAAGAAUUUUUUUUUUCCUUUA